rnacentral:rRNA from 1 species
UACAGAGGUGGCAAGCGUUGUUCGGAUUUACUGGGCGUAAAGCGCACGUAGGCGGAUCGAUCAGUCAGGGGUGAAAUCCCAGAGCUCAACUCUGGAACUGCCUUUGAUACUGUCGAUCUGGAGUAUGGAAGAGGUGAGUGGAAUUCCCAGUGUAGCGGUGAAAUGCGUAGAUAUUGGGAGGAACACCGGUGGCGAAGGCGGCCCCCUGGACCGGUACUGACGCUGAGGCGCGAAAGCGUGGGUAGCAAACGGG